AUUAUACUCUCCUGCUUUCAAUAAAUCAAACGGAAAUAUUCUCUAAUAACUUUGAAAUAACGUUCUAACAAAUACAUAGGGUUGUAUGUUUUAUCAAACUUUUCAAACGGAUAUAAGAUUAAUUAAACACAGUUCUAAUUUUAACCUAUCAAUUGAUAUUGUAGAGAAGUAUUCUAUGAAUUGCUGACAUUGCCGCUCUUCAUUUUAACUUUUUAAGUACAUAGAUGGAAUCUGAUUAUUAUGUUGUCGUUCGUUUUGAUAUAUUACGGUAAUAGAAAGCCGCUUCAUUCAUUCCCUGACGUCAAAUCGUGUAUCACUGCACGCUCACACAAACAGGGACUGCUGGCGCUGAGGGGUGUGAAGCCAAUAUAUAUUCAGGGUGCUUUUUAAUCUUUAUUGAAGCACUACGUUGUAUUAAAGGUAAAUGUUUUCAUCGCCGAUUUAUUGUAUUUUAUUAAACUGCAUUCCUUGUCCAAUAUUAAAACGUGCGCAUGAAAAAUACUGCAGAUAUGGGAAAUCGGAACUUGGAAAAACAAAUGGAAAAUUCUGGAAAUGCUCAGUUCUUCGCGCAGCAAUGUUGGAAAGCGAAGCGUUGCUGCUCUGUCAUCUGUUUAGACCUUUAGUCUCCUCUAUUCAGCACCGCGCUCUUAUGUCGAUAUUUGCUUAGACUUCCAGCAGUUCAAUCAGAGUUAGAAGUCUGCUGCCGAGGCUUGGGUGUAAAAAAACACACUCGGCUGGCGUGACAGUGUGUACUGAAGAAGUUUUGCAUUCCCACCAGCAUCAGAUAUUAUAUUUCAUGAAGUAUGAAGCAGUCAGCUCCAGCCCCUCAUCCUCAUUGGUCAGAGAAAGAGAGAAAGGAUCAAUGCCAGUCUGCUCUGUGAACUCCAAGAAGAAGUUCUGGAUAGAGCCUUCAAGAUGCAGAGCAUCAACCUGAGGUCCAGUAUUAAAGAUCGCAUCUGCAAAUUAUUAUAAACUCGAGAAGGUCUGCAGAUGCUGGAGCUGCAAAGGAACACACUCAAGCUGCUGGAGGAACUCAGCAGGUCAGGCAGCAUCUAUGGAAAUGAAUAGAUAAGUCCCGAAGAAGGGUCUCAGCCUGAAACGCCUACUCUUUAUUCACUUCCGUAGAUGCUGCCUGAGCUGAGUUCCUCCUGCAUUUUGUGUGUGUUGCUCUGCAAAUUAUUAUGCUUUGUAACCUCAAAAACUGAUCAAAAGAAAAACACGGAAUAAAUGCAUCUGUUUCAUUCUUACUUUAGUGAGGCAUGUAAAUAUGAUGUGGUGACAUAAUGACAUAUGCCAUUCAUGUACAUGUAUUAUGUAAACAAACAAAGAAUGCUCAAACAAUAUAUUUACAAUAUUACUGAAAUAUUAAAUACACAACACAAGUGAUUCAGAACAUGCUUGUAAUGUUGCCAGUCAGGUAAAUAAUGUUGUCCAGAAGAUGCUGAAGGAACUCAGCAGGACUUUAGCCAAAAUGUUAACUGCCCAUAUCCCUCCAUAGAAUCUGCCUGACCUGAAGAAUUCUUCCAGCAUUUUGUUUGUUGCUCUAGAUUCUGUCAUCUGCUGCCUCUUGCUGAACACAUAUUGUCUGCUAUUACUGUAAAAUGCUAUUACAUAUGUGAGAGGGGGAACACCUCUGAUGAAGGGGCUUGUCGUGUCUGUUCCGGGGUAGCUUUCUCAAUUUUGGGUCCCAACAGACACUUAGGUCUCACCUGUGGCUCCAAGUGGCUGUUUGCACAUGACAGCAGCCACAUGCCAGUACACCACCUCAGCAGGUGGGCUAAAGCAGGUGAGUGUAGCUGAUGGUCUCAUAUUGCGGUGAAGUAGGGACACGCCUGUCCUAGCAUGCAAUGUCAGCUUCACUGGACUGGGUGGAUGAGAUCUACAGGGAGACCCAAACGACUAGGAUGGCCAUGCUACAACACUUCAUGGUGAGUAAAAGGCAAGACAAGUCAGAGAAGAACUCAUGGUCAUCCACUGCAACCAAGGAGGACCCCAGUUUGUGAUGCUUGCUUGUACCACUGGACCCAGACUUGUGAGGUCGGGAGAGUGGAACUGUCCCAGGGUAAUGGCUUUUCCACUUUAAAAACUCUCCUGUCAUUGACAGACAACCACCACCACAUAUGUGGGACACAUUUUGAUAUCUAAUAUAUUUAGGGUUACUUUGAUAUUGCUUCUUGAACCUUUAUGUUUGCUUUGUUCUGGAAAACAUUCCUAAAUAUUAUCACUGUUGUAAAAUAUACGUAUGUCCAAUAUAUUCUUGCAAUGACCAAUAAAACGGUUUUAUUUGUU